GGGUCAGUAGGUUGGUCGUGCCACCGGUACGUACUGGUCUCACUGAUUCCUCCUUCCUGAAGAACCGUAAUGCCAUUAAUUUGGUGUCGCGGGGAAACAGGACUGUUACUUUGAAAAAUUUAGAGUGUUUAAAGCAAGCUAACGCUUGAAUACAUUAGCAUGGAAUAAUGAAAUAGGACGAUCGAUCCUAUUUUGUUGGUUUCUAGGAUUGACGUA
rnacentral:rRNA from 1 species